rnacentral:tRNA from 1 species
UGGGAUGUAGCUCAGUGGUAGAGCACUUGCCUAGCAUACCAGAGGCCUGACUCCCAUCCCCAGCAUCACAA